GCGUCUGUACUUUUUCCUGUUAGUUGGAAGUCAUCGCCUGAGUGGUUUGCAUCCUAACAGCUAGGAAAACCGUGGGAGAAGUGACAGGGCCUUUUCGGGCGUCUGCCUGCUUCUAUUUCUGAGCUCGAAACGUGGGCCAUGCUGUUGGAAAUGGGAAGAGAGGUGGGAAGGAAGGAUGGUGGCCUACUUAACCUCUCUCUCCGGAGCCUUCUUGGAUGAGCUCAAGCAGCGGCUAACGUGUCGAACUCAGUACUCUCCAAACCCUGCCCCAGUACGUCGUUCUCCUCUAACACACCAGUGUGUAGCCAGAGUACGUGAAGGCAGGUACUUGCCUUACUUACCUCUGAACCUCGGAUUCCCGUGUGUAAUGUAAUAAAGUAAGACUUUAAUGUGUUCGAGGUGGAUUAAGCGGAGAUGUGCAGACAUCGGAACAGGAGUCAGUCUGGUUCUAGAAAGAUCGGAACAACACUCACCACGGUGUUGACCUCUGACAUGCUCAUUCAGAUCUUAGCUCAAACUCAAGAGACGCUUUUUCUUGACUACGCUGGCUGGAGUAGGGCUGGUUAGUCUCUACCCGAUUGCCUUGUAUACUUUUCUUUAAAACGCUUAUCACUAUUUGAAAGUUUCUAUGUAGUUUUUUGUUUUGUUUUGUUUUGUUUUGUUUUGUUUUUUUAUUUGCUCGGAAUAGAAAAUAAGCAUCACGGAAUCUUGGGUUUUGUACAUUGCUGUUUCCGAGGGGGUAAAACAACCGCCAGCACAGCAAAUAGAGUGGAAUGCGUUGUCGUUUGUUUUGAAAUCAAUCUGAGUAGCUUAACUAUGUUCCUACAGAAUAGCUCUUUCAAAGGGAAGUAAAUUAGUUUGUCCCUAAUUUUGAGAGAAUCUACAGCCUUUUAUGCUAAUUAAGAUAAGUAUAACCAGCUUGGUGGGGUCACAGUGAAUAAAUUAUCACAAGAAUGGUAAGCAAAUUUAACUUCCAUGACAAACAUAGUUUAAUACAUUAAGGUUAAGUAUUCAUAACCUCAAGAUUAUAAAAAAUCAGAAUAUUACUAGAAAGUUCUUGUCUCUUCUUUGUGGAUAGAUUUUAACAGAAAUUCAACUCCAUGAUAUAAAAUACAUAAAGGCUUAACUCUAACUUUAUAGUCAUUGUAUGUAAAUAUCCAUUAAUCUUUGCCAUAAUGCUAACCUGCUUUGGAUUUCUUAAAGUAGCCCCUGGUUUCUUAUAGUGGAUACUGUAUUAAUUUUGAUAAACCUCCAGAAGCCUUGACUUGCCAAAUAAGUUUGAAGAAUAAAGCAGAUCUUGCUGUGUUACCUUGUUUAAACCCUCACAAUGCUGGAUCACGUAAUAAGGUCUUCAUGGCCUUAGAUUAAAAUACUUACCCAGGGGUCCCUGAGGGGCUCAGUCGGUUGGGCGUCCAGUUCUUGAUUUCCACUCGGUUCAUGAGAUUGAGCACUCAGUUCAUGAGAUCAAGGGGGGCACUUUGCUGACAGCUUGGGCUGCCCCUCCCUGCUCAAGCAUGUCCGUGUGCUCUCUCAAAGUAAAUAAACUUAACAAAUAAAAUACUUCUGCAGCUGUCUUGGUGUUUACACCUUGAUGUUAGAUACAAUGAUGUGUUUUCAUAACAUACUUGUCCUGCUGGGCAGUCUUCAAAAUUUCCCCAAGUGCUGAAAAUUAAGGAAAUGUCAGUUUUAGAGUUCCUUAGAAUUUCCCUUGACCCUAAAUUCUUUGAGAAAUCCCAUCCUUUGCAGACUUUGCAGCAGUAAAGCAAAGUACCAAGGUCUACCAAGAGACGUUGCCUUACUGCUGUACCUCAGACACAUUCAGCAGCUGCCUAGAUGUAGUAAACAGAGGUGUUGAGUGAUUUUCCCAAGAUCACUCAGCAAGGAUGAGCUAGAACAUGGAAUCAGACUCCGGUCCUCUAACUCCAAAUCCGUACGUGUGUGACCAUAGGGUGCGGUGGGGAGAGGCACAGAAAUUUUCACUUAUGCUGUGGUACUUGUAAAGUUCUGUAGUGUCUUCAAGACAAAGGAAGGGAUAUCUCCAUCCCCAUUUGGAUGUUUGCUUAACCACCAAGCUUGGUGAUCUAUCCCAGCGCUAUAAAUUUGGAGCUCCUGACCACACCACCAGAGGAGGAAGCACACGGAAGAGGUGUGUGUAAAGAGAGCUGGAUCCACAGGUCUAGUCUACCCUGGAGGGGCGUGAGUAUUUUUAAAUUAAAUUAUGAGAUUGAUGUUUUAAAUGAGUAGGACUAAAUCUCAGUACCUGGAAUUAAGAGUCUAAUAAACAGGGAGGCUGCUAUCCCAAAACAAUGAAGUUCAGCAAAGUACCAAGAAUAGAAAAUAUGACACUUUCAGGGACAUGCCUCUUGAGCUGAGAUUCUCAAACUGGUUAUACAGUUUUGUCUCCCCCAGUAUCUUUAGACAGGGAUUGUUUCUUACUCACCUUUCAAGCUUUGGUGUCUAGUGUACAAUAUAGUGCAUGGGACAUACAAUGUAUGUGGGUAAGUGAGUGAAUGCAUCCAAACUGUAAGAACUACGUAACUUAAUUCUCCUUUAGUCCACAGGCUCCUUCAGAGAGAUAAGGAAUUAAGGUUAUUUCUGUAAAAUCUCUACAAUUUCCACCCCACAGAGAGAACUUUCAGUCCACUUUUACUUCUUUUUCUAAUCAGCUCUCCUUCUCUCUCAAUAAACAUAUACAUAAUUCCUCUAGGAAAAGUAUGUUUUUCCCCUUAAAUGUUAUGUGACUUUGAUCUACAUUACCAAAAGGCUCUCACAGGCUCUAGAGACCCUUCCCUUUCUUUUAGGAAUCUACAUGUUCUGUCCCCAGCACUCCACUCCAUUUCCUCUGCCACCAUCUCCUCCCGUUUCUCCAUAAAUACCCUCCUAACUCUGGCCUUACCAUGAACCAGCUCUGUCCAUGUCUGAAGCCACUUUCCCACUUCAGCAUCACUUUGGGGAAUCAGGGAGAGAGGACUGGGAGACAAUAUUUCCUAUCUCUUGCCUCAAAUAUCUAUACACGUGGGGACAGGAAGGUGAAAAGAUAAACAGGGCCAGAGUCUUGUUUUUUAUUCUUAGCCUCUUGUGAAACCAUCUUCCACCAAACAUUUCCGUAGCAUAGACAUGCUUCAUUAGAGCUUCUUUGUUCUCCCCAGCAAUCCUACACUUUCUCCUGAUACCUCCAACACUUCUUGUCUUUGGAUAGCUUGCCAGAAGUACUUUUGUCUGACAUCAAUCUGUGUGUGUGUGUGUGUGUGUGUGUGUGUGUGUGUGUGUAUCAAAUUUGUAUGAAAUUUUACAUUAUUUGUCCUUUCUAAAAAUCCAGAUCUUUACCUUUUUUUAGCCCUAAAAAAAAGGAGUCAAAUUGAGUCAAUUCUGGUGUUUUGGCUAUGCCAUAUCAGGGCAUAAGCAGCUACAGAGAAACUGAAAAAGGAAGAAAAGAAUCUGGUCCCUGCCCUGUUUUCUGGUUAAGGAGGAGGAGACUUUGGAGAAGGGCAGCCAAAGCAUGCUUUGUAACAAGCCAAAAAUAUGCCCUUGAAAGCUGAGGCCUAAACUGUGCCUAUAAGAUGGUAAACAAGCUUGACUGUGGCUUUGGCUUCUUCACAGUAAGGAAUAAUUCUUUCACAUUCUUCUACAUACUUAAACAGAAAUAGAUCAUAAAGAGCCAGGAGACAUUCUAAAGAAUUGAAGCAAAUGGAAGAAUUUAAUAAAUAGAAAAGAACUAAACAAAUGAAGUAAAAAAAUAAGCAGCAAAAAUAUAUUUUCUUAAAGCUAAAAACAUUUUAGAAAGUGUCAAAGAAAUAAUUACCAAGCCCCAGGUGGCUGGGACAAAUGACUUGCAAUCAGAGGCCAGAAUACAAAACAUAAUACAAAACAUAAUUAUUCAUUAACUCGCAGGGUAGCCUCUGCUACAUGUUACUUCACCAACGGAAGUGUGUGCUAAGGACAGUGAAUUCUACACUUAAAUAUCUAAUAAUUCGAGAGAGUCAUUCCUGUCCCAUAUUGCAAAAAAAAAAAGUGGUAUGAGGAAAAGUGGUUAAAUGGAAUCAAGACGAGUCCUAGAAUCUAAUAUAUUUGAACUGGGCUGGGCAGCAGGCUACUCACUGACAUAGUGGCUGAAUACAGUAGUUCUGGUGACAGAGGAAAAGCUCUGAGGCAGCCCGGGAUUUUAUGCCCUCACUGCUUUUUCUGAUGAUGGGCUCACACCAUUCCUUUUCCAUAAGUAAAGCAUCAGAGUUUACUCACUCCACCCUCUGGCCAAGAAGUACAAGUUCACGAUGGGAACCAUACUCCAGGCUUUUACUUAUCAGGAUGUGAAAUGAGAAAGAAAAUAUGCAACUGAUAAAGCUUAGAGACAGAAUCAGGAAGGAAGAAAAAUAAAUUUGAAAACAGAUCAUUUAGCAGUUGCUGUUAGAAACAAAUUCCAGCCACCCCAAAGCCAUUGGCUGAGUACCCCCACCCCCAGGAUUCCUCAUGCCCACUGGCCUGCUCUGCCCACAGGACCCUGGGCUGGCUGUGGAGGGGCUGCCAACAGUGGCCCUGACCUUCCUUGCUAGAGCACACCUCUUUGCGGGGUUGCUCCUUCCAAGCAUAUGCGUGUGUUUGUAUGGAACAGUUACUUGCCAUGUUGGGGCAGUUUUAGGAAUUGCUUCUGAUUAAAAAAAAAAAAACAAAGAAAGAAAAAAAUUCUAGAUUAAAAAUAAAGUUUCUAUCUAAAUUCAGUUCCCUUGACAUGGAAUUUUUUUUAUUAAAUUCUUUUGCAAUUUUUUUAAGGUUUUUUGUUUGUUUUUAAGUAAUCUCUACACCCACUGUGAGGCUCAAACCCAUGACCCCAAGAUCAAGAGUCAUAAACUCUCUUCAGACAGCCAGGUGCCCCUGGAACUUUUUAAUGGUAGGUAGAGUUCAGUACCAGUAAAGGACAUUUAUCAUACUUUCUGUCUACCCAGCAUAUCUUUGAUGUAAUUCCAGUAUCUGGGGGAAUUUCCCACCUUGUGGGUCCACCUCCCCAGGAUAGAAAGCUGGAACUUGCUUUUCCAGGCCCCCUUGCAGCUAGGACCCACAGAUGUGACAGAGACAUCCAUUUGAAAAAAGUGAUGGGAAAAGCAAGGCAUCUCAUGGAAUACAUUUUGUGCAAGGGAAGAGGUGUGAGGCCAAGAUAUAUGCAGCUUUCACAGGUAGUGGGGACAGAAGUUCUGGCGCGUAACCCCACAAUAGUGAUGACUGUCUCCAAUGGAAACUACAUCAUUCCUGGUUCUAUAGCUUCCAAGCUUGAUUCUCUACUUCCAGAUUUUUUCCUUUGAAAAAGGAUCCUUUUCUGUUUAACUAGGGUGGAUUUUGUUUCAAACGUUCAGCGUGUAUUUAUUGAGUGCAAUCUGUGUUCUAGGAACUGGCUUUUAGCAAUGCAAUAAAACAGGAACAGAUUCUUAUCCUAAUAAAACUCACACUCUGGUAGGGGAGACAGAUGAUAAAGUAAAUAUAUGAUAAUGCUAUAUACCAUAUGAUAAGCAUCACAAGACAAGACGUGCCAUAGAGAAAAGUAAAGCAGGUAAGGAGGAGAAAUGCCAGGGGUGAGGUGUAGCACAUUUAAAUAGGGCCGUCAGGAAAGCUCUGACCAAGAUGACAUUUGAAUAAAGAUCUGAAGGAUGUAAAGGAAGAAAUCAAAUGGGUAUCUAGGUCCGCAUUCUAAGUAGAAGGGACACAAAGAGUACUUGUGCCCGUGAGCAGGAGUGUACUUGGCACAUUCCAGGAAGAGCAAGGAAACCAGUGUGGCUGGAACACUGAACACGGGGAAAAGUAGUAGCAGCUGAGGACCAAGAGGAGAGUGAUCCAAUAGGUGCUGGCAGGUUACCGCAGGGGCUUUUGAGAGUGGGAACGUUGAAGGUUUUCAGCAGAGGAGACACAUAAGAUUGUCUGCUGCAUUGAAAACAGACAUAUGGGAAGGAAACAGGUAAAAGCAGAAAACAAGAGAAAAAUGAGGAACCUACUGUCACAAACGAGGUGAAAGAUGAAGAUGGUUUGGUCCAUGGUGGUAACGGAGGCGGGUGAAGAGAAACAGUCUGAUUCUGGAUAUAUUUUGAAGGUAUAACUGACACCAUUUAUUGACAGGUUGGUUUGCGGACAUUCUGAUGACUUAAUGCUUCUGACAUAUAGAAUUAGCAUAUAUAACAUAAUGUGUUUUCUAAGAAUCAAAAGGCAGAAAUAUAUGUAUUCUCAACAGUGGUGGUAGUAGAAACCCUCUUGCAUUAAUACAGAGCUUUAGCAUUAACACUAUCUGACACAUGUAAUGAUGUAUGUCAUCAUUACUGUGUUGAAGUCAUUUAAACCAUGUUUUCAGUGGGGGCACCUGGCUGACUCAGUCGGGUAGAGAAAGCGAUUCUUGAUCUCAGGGUUGCAAGUUCGAGGCCCACGUUGGGUGUAGAGAUUACUUAAAAACCUUAAAAAAUUUUUUUUCAGUACUAUGUGUAUGUAGGAUAUGGUAAUUUGAUAACAUCACCAAAAAUUCACAUAGCACUAGAGUUUACAAAGCACUCUAACAACCAUUAUUUAAACUCACAACCACUUCAAGAGAACGGUAAUUCCCUGUUUUACAGAUAUGGAAACUGAAAUCUAGAAACAUAAGUGACUUGCCUCGGGUCAGCUCCUGGAGAGCCAGCCUUGAACAUGGCCCCAGAUCCUUUAACUCACAGAUGAAAGUGCUGUACCACAGCUACACUACAAGGUGGCCAUCUCCCAGGUUUCACUUUUAUUUCUUAGUCGUGAAAUAUUAUCUACAUCUGUAUCUUAAACGCUAAGUCCAUAUGCUGUGGACAGAUUGUUUCCCCCGCCCCCUCACUCCACAAAUUCUUAUGUUGCAGUCCUAACCCCCAAUGUGACUGUAUUAGGAGGUAAUUAAGGUUAAAUCAUAAAGGCAAGCCCUAAGCCCAUAGGACCGGUGGGCUUGUAAGAGGAAGACAAAGAUAUUUCAUUUUCUACACGUACACACACCUGAACAUACAGUGAGAUGGUGGCUAUGUACAAGCCAAGAGAAAAGGCCUCAGAAUGAAAUCUACCUUGCUGGCACCUUGACCUUGGCCUUCCCAGCCUGAGAAAUCUGAGAAAUUUUGUUGUUUAAGCCAUCCAGUCAAUGGUAUUUUGUUUUGGCAGCCUGAGUAGAUUAAUACACCCUAUUAUGGAAAAGAAGGGUGGUUUAAUCUAGAACAGUCUUAAUGUUGGCCAAUUUAACAUACACACAAAACCCCAAAGAACGUUCAAUCCCAACUUCACUUUCAGGCCAUGUAAUCUAAACCACACAAAGUCCACAAGCCAGCAGAGAUUAGUCGUUUUAUACCCUAUUCAGCUGGCCCCUCAACUCCAUUCACAGCCAUGGAGUCAUACUCCUAGACUCUGGGGGAGCAACAUGUGCCAAUGCCACGUCACCAGUGAAUCUCUUACAAUCUCUUUCAUACCUUCAAUACCUGCAUUGUCCAAUCAAGUAGCCACUAGUCAUAUACAGAGAGUAAGUAUUUGAUAUAUGGCUACUCUGAAUUGAGAUGUGCUAUAAGAAUAAAAAAGACACUGGAUUUCAAAGACUUAAUAUGAAAAAAAGAAUGUAAAAUAUAUUAAUAAUUAUUAACAGCUGAAUAUUAUUUUGGAUAUAGGGGGUUAAAUAAAACAUUACAAAAAUUAAUUUCACGUUUCUUUUUACUGUUUUUAAUGUGCUGCUAGAUAAUUUAAAAUUACAUACAUGGCUUGCAUUUGUACUUUGCAUUGUCUUUCUAUUGCUUCUCCAUACAGUCCCUUAGUCCUUUUUUUUUUUUUUUUUUUUUUAAAGAAGGCACCACACCCAGCAUGGAGCCCAAUACAGAGCUUGAACUCAUUACCCUGAGAUUAAGACCUGAACUGAGAUCAAGAGCCGCUUAACUGGAUGGACCACCCAGGCAUCCCUCCUAGUUUUUUUGAUAUACUCACUCUUUCCUUAGAAUCUCAGCUCGUUUUUCUUGGGUCUUGCCUCCAAAGAAUGCUGUCUUUUUCUGCUCCAACUACUUCUAUUAUUGUUGUGGGCAGAUUCCAGAACUUGAGUAUGCAUGAAGAAGGGGAAAGACCUUAUGGGAGUUCAACUCCCAGAUAAAAUAUUGAAUGCAAUUAGAUCUUUCCUCGAUACAUUGUUACUUUUUCUCCUUCACUAUGUUAGGUAACAUUAUUUUUAAAACACCCUUCUAAUAAUGUAGCCUUAAGAUACAACAUUCUAGGGGGGACUGGGUGGAUCAGUCAGUUAAGUGUCCAACUUUGGCUCAGGUCAUGAUCUCUCAGUUCAUGAGUUCCAGCCCCACAUCGGGCUCUGUGCUGACAGCUCAGAGCCUGGAGCCUGUGUCUCCUUCUCUCUGUGCCUCUCAUGGGUCACACUGUCUCUCUCUCAAAAACAAACAUUUAAAAAAUUAAAAUAAGCAUUCUAGAAAAUGGGAGGGAGUGGCAGAGAAGAAAACUCUGUCCCAUCAUACAUAAUGAUUUUGAUCCUGUAUUACUACCUGUUUUUCAAAAGAGAAAAGAUGUGAAGCGUGGUUAAAUACAUUACCCAAGGUCACAGAUCUGUAUGAAGUAGUUACUACUGAAAUCUGAUUCUGUGCUCUUACUAUUAUGUCACAAUUCAUGUAACCUCUUGACAACUGAAAAUUUUAUAGAACCUGGGUAGGGGAGAAAAUGGGAGGUGGCCACUGAUACAAACAUCAAUGAUUACUAAACACUACCUGGAAAGUAAUUAUAGUUAUUUUCUGCUUGGGAUAUAGUUAAAUGGGAAUUAUGUUAACUACUCAAGUUAUUCAAUAAAACACUCCACAGAACUCUUCUAAAUUCUAGAUGAUGAUGAUCACAACGGCAAAAAUGUUUUAAGCCCUUGUGUGUGAAGCACCGUGCUAAACACCGCUGGAGCUCAUUUUAUCGUCUUGCAAUGCAUGGGGUCUUAGUGACCCCAUUUAAAAAAAAAUUUUUUUAACAUUUACUUUUAAGAGAGAGAGAGAGAAAGUGUGUAUGAGUGGAGAAGGGGCAGAGAGAGGGAAACACAGAAUCAGAAGCAAGCUCCAGACUCUGAGCUGUCAGCACAGGGCUCAACGUGGGGCUCAAACCCAUGGACUGCGAGAUCAAUACCUGAGCCAAAGUCAGACACUCAACCGACUGAGCCACCCAGGCGCCCCAGUAACCCCAUUUUAUAGGAGAAACCAAUCACAGGGCUGAGAAUUGACUGCAACCCGGUCUGUCAGGCUUCCAGAGGCCCAGAGCUUGGCCAUGCUCUACUGCCUUUUCCAAUGAUAAUGGUCUCAUCUCCACAACUUCGAGGUGUCACCCUUGGGAUAAAUGAAGUCACUCCCAAUUUCUGGCAGAUUCCCUAAAGAAGAGAGAAUUGUAAUUCUGGGCCUCAUUCUCCACAUAUUACAGAUAAACUUAGUUUUGAGCAUUUCUUAGGCUAUUUUUGCAUCCUUUUCAUGCAUUCAUUUGGGAUAGUUUACAAGGAGCAUGUUUUAGAGAGAACUUUUAAUCAUUUACUGAUUUUGAAGAUGUACUUGUGGAGAGAGCUCUCACAAUUCCAGAAGCUGAUCUGAUUUGCUAUGGUCAUAGCAUUUUUACUUUCUGUCCCUUGCAUGAAUCUUUAUAUCCCUGAAAUUGUGAGAGUAAAAAAAAAAAAAAAAAAAAAAUCUAAAUGUCAACAUAAGACUUUGUAUUUUAUAUUUUAAUGGGGUGGAGGAUUCUCUUAACAAGUCCACUUUCUUUUUUGCCCAGAAAGGUGUUGACUUAAAAAAAAACAGGAUAAGGCAAGAUUUAACUAAACACUGACUGGAAGGAAGUUUUUUAAAUUCCAAGAGUCCCAGAAUCUCCUAAAGUAAAAUGAGAACCAUAUACAAUGUAGCUAUUUGCCCAAACUGCUACAGUGUACAAAUAUGCUCACUUCAAUCCUUGCAAUAAUUCUCUAUUGGCCACAUUCUACAAAUGGGGAAAUUGAGGCCCCAGGAAACUAAGAGAAUAUCUCAAGACUGUAACUACCAUUUGUGGACUUUCUGACCUUAUGCCUGAUGUAUAUAUUUGCACAUGCUUGAUCAUGCUUUAACAUUGUGCUGGUAAGUUGGUUGAAUCCAUCAACCAAAAAGAAAACUGGAGAGAUUUUGAAAAGAGCCAAGAGGAUAUGGCACAGCAUUUAUUUAUUUUUCCCAUGGAAUCUCUUAUCAGAUCGUUAUCACAGUCCACCUUGGAUAGACAGCAGUCCCAUUUCUAAGGCGCCCCACCUCUCCACCAUCUCCUUCUAACCAUCCUUUCUCCCUGAUCUUUUCCUGCCCCCUGCAUCCCAUUAGUUUCCCAUCUCUCUCUUUUUUUUUUUUAAGUUUAUUUAGAGAGAAGGGAGUAAGAGUUUAAAAGAUGUAAAAGUAUACGUGGAAAGGCAAAAUAGAGAACGCUAUGAGAGAGAAGUGGGGGAGGGGUUACUUUUGGAGGUUGAGGUUUUGCAGGGUAAAUGUAAUGGAACAAUGGAGCAAGUACUAAGGACACUACCAAAAGAAAGGUUCAUGAGAUGUCCCAAGGUACUUAGAGAAAAAUGGAAAUAAAGGCUAAGUUCAGAAUAAAGGAAAAUAUAGAGGCAUCUGUGGAACGAUGGUUUAUCCAUAUGCCUUCCAAAAGUGCUCGGGGAUUUUCACGUAAGCUGAGCUCUAGGCCUCAGAGAGAAGUUCCUUCUCCUGGUUUGUCUUUCUGUACCUCAGACAAAUGGGGAAAGGAACUAAGCCUUAGGCCACAGGGGCCUGAGGUUCUCCCCCUACUUGAGAGACACCCAGUCUCCUUUCCCUUCCUAUCUCUGGUCAAAAUUGAAAAUUGUUGGCAAGGGAGUAUGAAUAAGAUUGAAGACUUGCAUGGCUCAAACUUCAGUAUUUUCUCUACCAAAAGGGAUGUGGGUCAGGGACAAGGUCUAUAACAAGGAUGGAGCACAGGGAAAGAGAUGGGAAAGGAUCUCAGCAAAAGAAAUGAGUUCUUGGCAUUAAUGUAAUCUGGCCCUAUUUCCCAAGGCAGGAAGUCAAAGAAGGUCUGGGACAGAGUCUUUCACUAUUAAAGUAUGUACUGGCCAGGAAGACCACAGGCUGAACUGGGCCCACACUGUGAGACUGGGAGUGUUAAAUUUUUUUAAUUUGAACGCCUCGAGAGGCGUUCAUGUGCCUUCCUGCUCAGUUUAGUCUUCCCAUUGCUCCCAGCAGUCCUUCAUCGACUUCAUCUACUCUUGUCAGAACUCCUAUGUAUGUUGGCACGUGUCGCAUUAUCCUUUCAGUUUAUUUUCUGUGGGUAAUAGUAAACACUUCGAUGAAAACCUGGGAUCCUGAACAUUUGUUUCUUUUUAAGAGCCUUGUUCAACAUUCAGAAAAAAAAAAUCUUCAAAACAUUCUAUGUGACUUUGCACCAUAAUUUAUAAUCAGAUUUACUAAGUGGUUAAUUACAACCCAAACUUGCUUUUGUAUUUCCAAAGGGCUUUUUGUAAAUUCCACAUAAUGGUCAGUGAUAACAGAAUGUGACAAUACAGGGGAUGGGCUAAACAAUCUUACCAACAAGAUUAUACAAAAAAUGACAGUAAAAUACUUAACCAGU